AUGCAAAAAAACAAAUCAGGCUUCAGGAUGGAAAAUAGGAAUAGAGGCCCAACGACUUCAUGCCCAAGCCAUCUUCUCUUCUCAUCGCGGCGCUACAGUUUCUCAUUCAUCACCUUCUUCUCUUCCGAUCAAACACUCCGCCGUACCAGACUACCACCACCGUCCGUCUCUCUUCCACUCACCUUCGCGCUUUCUCUCAACUCCAUAGCUCCAUCUCAUUCGAUUUCCUUUCAACGCGUCUCGAAGCUCCAUCUCAUUCGAUUUCCUUUCAACGCGUCUCGAAGCUCCGUCUCGUUCGAUUUUGACUGCGAACCAACCUUCGUCAUCGGCUCCAAGCUUCGUCUUGCUCCAUCUCCGCUCAAGCGUUUUUGUUCGCCUUCGGUUCACUCAUCUCCAACCUUUUGCUUCGCUUCUACGCCCUCACAUCAUGCCUCGAUCUCUCUUCAGUCCGAACGAAAACAAGAACACGAUGCAGAAUAA